UACGUAGGGUCCGAGCGUUAAUCGGAAUUACUGGGCGUAAAGCGUGCGCAGGCGGUCUCGCAAGUCCGAUGUGAAAUCCCCGAGCUUAACUUGGGAACUGCGUUGGAAACUACGAGGCUAGAGUGCGGCAGAGGGGGGUGGAAUUCCACGUGUAGCAGUGAAAUGCGUAGAGAUGUGGAGGAACACCGAUGGCGAAGGCAGCCCCCUGGGCUAGCACUGACGCUCAUGCACAAAAGCGUGGGGAGCAAACAGG
rnacentral:rRNA from 1 species